rnacentral:lncRNA from 1 species
CUUGGGUUCAAUUUCUUUGUAAUUAUUAAAACAUGAUUUAUUAGGACACAUGUGGAAUGUACACCCUGAAUCCAAGAUCCAAUCCUUAUCAACUUCUUCAUCAGACGUAGUCAUUACAAGAAGACUGUCUAACUCAUAACCAAUCGCAGAAUUAUUCAAGAUCCUGAAGUACCAUUUCAUACGUGAAAAAAUUGCUUGUGGUGAUGUUAUACUUGAAAAAAUUCACACUGACGUGAACCCAUCUGAUAUGGGAACCAAAAUUCUACAUGUAGUUAAAUUUAAGGCUUGUUUAUCUUUACUACAUACUGAUAUAGGUUAAUUUCUUUUGCAGGUACUAAGGGCGAUGAUGUAGGGCAAAAACAUUACCGUCACAUGCAUUGUAGCAACUAAAGAAAGCUAGGGGUUUGUGAAAACAAGGUGAAGAUUGUGAAAUGUUUUCAAAACCCAUUAAUCACGUUUUUUACAAGUGACAAAAAUUGUUUUCUCUAUUUGUUGGCCACUUGGCAACCUUCUAUUGGCAACUUACAUUUCACAAGUAUUUGUGUUUGUUUGAAAAAUUAUGGGCCAUUGAUCAAAAUGGAGGGUUGAGAUUAGCUUCAACUUUUCUCUCAUUUAUUGAAAUGGACGGCAGGAGAGAGAAGAAUAAGACUUUCACUUUCUCUUGAUUUUUCUUCCAAUCAAAGCAAUCAUGUUUAAAGUGUCCCAUUUUCCCACAGUGGUAGCACUUUUUAUUGCUUCUAUCUCGUGAUUUAGAUCUAGUUUUUGAUUUAGAUUUGAAUCUUCUGUUGUUUGAGUUACUUUCCUUCUUUUCAGUUCUUCCUCUCACAAACAUACUUUCCUCCCUUGAACGUCUAGAUUCUCUCUUGAUUUCCAAUUCUCGAGCUCUUAAAGCAUUGAUGACAAUAGAUUGCGUUAAAGCAUCUCUUGAAUAUUUUAUUGCAUUAUUGAUAUCCCUAUAGGAAUCAAGUAGGGAAUUAAGAAAGAUCACUGCAAGGUCCUCAUUUUCAAAUUUUUUGUCAUUAUGGGAAAGGCUUUUAACCAAAAUGUUAAAGUUACUCAAAUUAGUUUCAAAGUCUUUUCCAACAUCCAUUCUGAAGCUAAACAGUUUCUCUAAGAGGUAAAUUUUAUUUGGCAAUUUCUUAGUCAGAAACAGAGUAUCUAAUGCAGUCCAUAAUUCUCUAGCGGUUUUGUGUUCUUCAACUUGUCUUACAAUGUUAUCAGAUAAGUGCAAUAUAAUAGAACUAUAUGCAAUUUCAUUCAUAUCUAGAAUUUCAUCAGGCUUAGCUUUCAAUUCAUCAGAAAAUUUUUCAGGAUCUUCAAGGGCUUUAGUAACCCUUUGUUGGACCAAUAUGACCCUCAUUUUCUACUUUCAAACCGAGUAAUCCCCCUUUCCAUCGAAUUGAGACAAUUCGACCUUCGAACCCAUUGCAGGUUCUGUAAAAGGGUGGCUACUA